GUACUGUUGAGGAGUCCCAUACCAGGACGAAACGGCCGUUCAGUGC
rnacentral:hammerhead_ribozyme from 1 species